rnacentral:rRNA from 1 species
UACGAAGGGGGCUAGCGUUGCUCGGAAUCACUGGGCGUAAAGCGCACGUAGGCGGCUUGUUAAGUCAGGGGUGAAAUCCUGGAGCUCAACUCCAGAACUGCCUUUGAUACUGGCGAGCUUGAGUUCGGGAGAGGUGAGUGGAACUGCGAGUGUAGAGGUGAAAUCCGUAGAUAUUCGCAAGAACACCAGUGGCGAAGGCGGCUCACUGGCCCGAUACUGACGCUGAGGUGCGAAAGCGUGGGGAGCAAACAGG